UGUGCCGCUGAAGGUUAUGUAAAAUCAGCGGGAUGCCGUUGGGUUGCAGGGUAUGUAUUUGUUGUUUGUUACUUAGUUUGUCCAGUUUGGUUUACACUUAUUGGAUGUAUUUUU